rnacentral:rRNA from 1 species
CCUACGGGCGGCAGCAGUGGGGAAUAUUGGACAAUGGGGGCAACCCUGAUCCAGCCAUGCCGCGUGUGUGAAGAAGGCCCUCGGGUUGUAAAGCACUUUCAGUGAGGAAGAACGCCUGGUGGUUAAUACCCAUCAGGAAAGACAUCACUCACAGAAGAAGCACCGGCUAACUCCGUGCCAGCAGCCGCGGUAAUACGGAGGGCGCGAGCGUUAAUCGGAAUUACUGGGCGUAAAGCGCGCGUAGGUGGCUUGAUAAGCCGGUUGUGAAAGCCCCGGGCUCAACCUGGGAACGGCAUCCGGAACUGUCAAGCUAGAGUGCAGGAGAGGAAGGUAGAAUUCCCGGUGUAGCGGUGAAAUGCGUAGAGAUCGGGAGGAAUACCAGUGGCGAAGGCGGCCUUCUGGACUGACACUGACACUGAGGUGCGAAAGCGUGGGUAGCAAACAGGAUUAGAUACCCGGGUAGUC